rnacentral:lncRNA from 1 species
AUGUUUUCUCAAGUCAAAUUGCUAGAUUUUUACAAAAAAAAAAAAAAUGAAUGGGUCAGUUAGAUUCUUCAAAAGUUACCGGGUCAAGGUGAUACCUUUCAACAACUUCCAUCUCACCCAAGCUCCCCUCGUUCUCUCUCUUCACCUUCCUCGUCUAUUUUUCUCUGAAUUCUUCACUUGCUUUUCACCCUCUCUCCUACCUUAUCAAGAAUAAUUGAUGGUCAGAUGGUAAGGAUAGAGUGAAAUUACUCUGAAAAGAAUGUAAUGUGUGGGAUUGAGGAAAAGGAUGGAAAACAAAGGAUUUGAUGAGGAGAAAGAGUUCAUAGAUCAAUUGUCUGGGAAUUUUUCAAGGAAAGAAAGGAAGGCAAAUGGGAAAAUCUUAAAUACAACAUUUGUCCCUUAAACAUAUUUCGAAAAGAUUAAAAAAAAAAAGGAAAGGACAUAUAAAGUCCAACAUCAAUGACAUUUUCUAUCUGCAAAACACUUGAGAAAACUUGGAGAGAAACCCUCCUCUUCCUUCCUAUCCUUAUCAUUUACAAAGGAAUGUAUUGUAACGAUGAUAUUCCAUAAUCUAGGCAUCAUUACCUCAUUCCUGUAAAAUAAUGAUUUCUGAUAGUCUCGACUCUUAAUCAUUGUUCUUGUAAUGGGAUUCUUUUUCCUUACUGGACUUGUGAUGAAUCUGCAAAAGUUUUUGUUGAAUUCAACAGCAUAGAAGCUUAAUUAGGGUACACGUUGGAGGUCUUUCCUCAUCCUGGAUAUUUGCCCAAAUUCAUAUCACGAGCGGGAUCAUAGAUUAUCUUGUGUUCGGUUGUCCAUGUUUUGAACUUCUAAACGUUGAAGUAGGUUUACAAGUCUCUAUAUAAAAGAGCCCCGCCUAUUCGUGUUACGACCUCCAAAAUGGUUCAUGGUUUUACAUAAGAAAAAGACUUGCUCAGGGUCGAUGCAUGAAACGCCUUAACUUACUAGGUAGCACCUCCCAAUUCCCAAAAGGCCCAACUUUCAUAUCAAGAAUUAAACAAGCUCAUCGUUAACGAUGGGAGAUCGGUCACCUUAAGCGAGACCUCCUAAAACACCAAAAGUAAUGCUACAGAACAAACUCUUUUUUUUCUUUUGUUCACACGGAAAAAGAAUACUUGAGCAAUGAAGAGCGAAUAUAGACAGAAAUUUCCCAUUAAAGACUGAGCUUUCACUGAGGACUAUGCUCCGAAUUUAAUGUUGCUGUUUAAUUUCGAAGCUUGACAAAUUUACGCUUCUAUUAUUGGUGGCCUUAGAGACUACUAUUGUCCACCUGUUUUACUAUCAUUGGUUCUUCCUUCUGAUCAAACCUUGUCAUAAAAUAUCUCAAGUAUCCAUUGCUGAGUUACGCUAUAUGUGCCACUAGUGCCAGGAUAUGACAAUAACCCCUGAAGACUAAGAAGUGGUUUAAGAUUUGUGGAGUAGAUAUUGUUGCAAUGAAAGAAGAUGCAAUUUCUUAGAAAAUGUAGCUACCCUUUUCAGAAGAAUAUUCAAACCGGCCAAGAGAAGCAACUGUGUAGUUUAUCCAUUAUUACAAUAUCAUAAACCAAAAGAUUACGUCCAUGCUUACAAUAUCAUAAACCAAAAGAUUACGUCCAUGCUUACAAUAUCAUAAACCAAAAGAUUACGUUUCUUAGAAGUAAGGUUGACUCUUCAUAACUGACAGUGAAAACAAAGGCUCACUUUGACAUCGUAUAUAAGGAUGCAUAUUUUAGUUGUUUCACGGGAUAAACAAAGAAACAUAAAAAAAAUUGAAAAUGGCUAGACACUUGUUUAUGACUAGUAUUGGCAGUGCAGCUAGUCAAGUUUCUCUGAUGCAGCAUGAGGGUUCAGGGCUCAUGGUCAUGCUCGGCAUGAUUGUUAUGUCUGUUUCAAUUUUCUUCUCUUUUUUUUUCAUUUCUAAAUUCUAUAGAUAUCCAUUAAAAUACUAUUUUCUAAUAUAGUUUUCUAUAAUAUCACGCCAUAGACACUUCUCAACUAUUAAAAUAUUUCAAAAGUUCUUUAAAAAAUCAGGGAAAAUAUAUAAACUACAAUAACGAUAACAGCAAUCAAAUCAAAUGGGAUUAGUAAAAUGCAAACAUUCUUCUGAUCACACGAUCCGAAAACUAGACGUUGCGGCCUCGGCCUUCAUUGAGAUCUGGGCCAAUUGCCAAUGAAAUGCUCCAUUUGGGCUUGAUUGGGCUAUCCGCUCUUGGCCUAUUUCCAAUGAGAUUUAGGUUUUUAAAGUUUUUGCUUACGAAACAAGCAAGUUGGCCUGGUCCAAUAGUCUUCUUCACUGUCUCUUCUUCCUCCCCUAGCCUCGCUCUUCCUCUGUUUCCAACUUUCCACCACCACAUACCCCCCUUCGGCGGCCGGGGCCCUGUAUGUUUCCCGACCUUCACUUCCCUACUGCUUCUCCCUUUUAUGAUCGUCUACCAUUCUGUACUUGAAUAAAAUUGGCCAUUUUUCCUAGUGUUUGUUUGGUGCGGAUCUUUUAAGGAAAUUCUUGUUAAUUUUUUAUCCAUGUGUGAACCCGGUUAAACUUGCUAUUUCGUUUUAAAAACGGUAAGACCUUGUCCGCUGUGCUAUGGUCCCGCUCGUGAUUACCACCUGUUAGAUGAUAUUGAUGAAUGUCCAUGUGUGUUGUAUAUGACGUGAUGAUCAUGUGCAUGAAAGUUUUUUGUUGAUACUCCGAACAAUUUUGGAUGAAUUAGUAUUCUUUUGAACCUUUAAAGUGUCCAAAAUGAAAACUUGGUGUAAAAAACUUAAGGGGUCAAAGUGGAAUAAAUACUUCCUUUUUUUGAGAAAGAGAAUUGAUAUAUGACAUAUUCGAAACUGUUAUCGAUAUGUAAAUAAUGCUUUAAUAAGACACGAUGAUGGACAAAAUGAGAUACCGUACUCGAAUACGAUAUCUUUCAUUUACACUCUCUCCUUCUGGACCGCCGAAUUCAUCCAUCCUCUAAGACACACAAUUGUUGUCAUUGUAGACAUAUUUGGCUAAGAAGCAACUAAGUUAUUGUCGUCCUUAAGUUUUGACAACUCAAUUAUGGUUCACAAAUAGUAGCUCUUAAUUAUUUUCUACAUUUCAUUGAAUUAGAAAAGAAACUUUGUACGAUAUCAAAUUUAUGCUCUGUAGGAUACAGUAGCAUUUCUAACCCAAUAAAAAAUGCAAUUUUUUGUUAUUUUUACUCGUAUAGUCUGACACUUUUCAUCUCACUUUCAAAAUGAUUUUACUUCUGAUAAUCAAAAUGACUUGAUUUUAUUCACAUCUUGUAUUCUGACCCUUUCCAUCUCACUGUCAAAGUGGCUAAUUUGGUAUCAAACCACAAUUGUAAUCACAUAUCUUCCCAAUGUCGUCAUGGAAUCACUGCGUGAUGAUCUUUUAUUGAGGGGAGGGGAAAUGGUCAAACCUGACAUAUGUUUGAUUUAUACCCACAACCCAAGUCAUUUAUUUCCUUUAUUAAAACCUAUCCCACUUGUUAAGGAUUUAUUAGCCUGAAAAUACUGGAAAGAAAAUCAAUACAGAUGGUUGAAUAACGUUAUAACUCUCAAAAAAUUCAUUCAGAAAUGUAGGACCCAAAUUUUAGAGUUCUAAUAAUAAUCAAUCCGUGCAAGGUUAUAUAGAAUUGGAGGGAUAAAACAAACACUCAAAAUAUAUGUGGAAGAGAAGAAAAUAAUAAACUCAACUCACAAUAUUAUUGAAAUCUCAAAUAAUGAAGAAAGUCACAUCACGAUAGAAAAUCGGAUAAAUUCUUCUAUACUCUCUCGAGAAAAUAGUCUAAAUUAAUGUCCUAUUUAUAACCUACCAGACUUGUUGUAAGAGAAAUCAUUUACACAAGAAAUUACCAAAUGAAACACAAAUUCUUUAAUCAUACCACUACUAAAAACCUGAUUCCAAUAAAACUAAUAAAUAAAUAAAUAAAUAUUUUUAGACUUGGUUUAGUAUGCCAACAAGAAAGAAAUGAGAUGAUGUCUCAUAUCUUGUUAUUUGAGUCUGUAUACUAAUCCUGCCGGCGCAUACUGUUGCUACUUUAGAACAUGCUCUACUGUUGUCAUUGACAAUUUUGGAGGUUCAUGUCCAUGCAUGACUCCAAAUCUAGAGGAAAAAAGAAAAAAUGGAAUGAAAAUAUGCCGCCGGUGUGUCUCAUGGGCAUUGUCCGUUACUUUUGCGAUCAAUGGAUUCGUACUCGAUCAGUAUCAGCUGAGUCACGCUGAGUUAUAUCUGAAACGAGUCCACCGAUGACCGGGAGGGUCCGUUCAGGUUAGGAAUCAAUAUGGUGGACACUUCGUACAGAAUGCCUUUACUGCAAUAUGACUUCUUACAGAAUGCUUCCCAUCUAACCAUGUAAACGAUCCAAACACAUAUUCUCUGGCUGCACCAGCCUUUGUAGCUGUAAUUGUGACAUUGAAGCUUUUCUGUUCACCAAUUGUUGCAAAAGCAAGUGUUUUUGGUUGAACAUCAACCGAUAAUCCAGCAGGGUUGCGAACAUGGACGGUGUAAGUUGCUGGGGAGGAACCAACAUUCUUCACGGUCCUAGUAACUGUGACUGAAUCAUUAAAAUUAUGAACAGCUAUUGCAGGGUAAUUGAAGUUGUAGAGCUUAAUUGGUAGCGGGCACGUGGCUGAGGCGUUUACUAGGAACGCAAAUUGGGAUUGAUUAUAGCCCAUUGAACAUAGAAAGGUGAAGUAAUCUUGGUCUGUUAGAUCAUAAACCAAUCCAGGAUCCAUAGCACGGCUAGGACGGAUAAGUCCUGCUCCGUAGGCAAAAGGUGUGCCCUUUGGAUGAAGUUGAUCAUCUAACACUGUAAUUGGCUUUCCAGUGUUAUCCUGAGUGCUUGCUGUGAAGUGAUUUCGAAACCAAAUGUCAAAAUGCUGAUCAAUAAUAAAAUUACGUGUAGGGAGUGAAAGUUUAGACAGGGUUUUUCUCCAAUUUGGAUGGAGAGUUCAAUAGUAUAAUGGUUUUUUUUUUUUAAGUUCAUGGGUUGUGAGGACUUGCCAGUGGUCAUAAUAGCUGAUUUGAUUGCUGCCGGACUCCAAUCUGGAUGGAGAGUUUUGAGGAGGCCGACAACACCAGCAACAUGAGGGCAUGCCAUCGAAGUUCCUGUUUGUGCAAAAUAGGGGACUCUUCGCUUAUCGAAACCAUGGCCAUCAGAUGCUGGCCCAUGUGCUUCAGUGUAAGCAGCAAUCACACUUACUCCGGGUGCAAUGAUAUCAGGCUGAUAAGCAUUGAAAAUAGGAAUGUAUUAGAAAGAUAUCAGGGAGUAUGGCAUGACAAAGUAAUCUAGCGGCUCAAUUGACUAACCUUGAGGAUGUCUCGAGCGACACCGGCAGGUCCCCUUCCUGAAAACCUUGCCACGGCUGGUGCUGGCUUUAUACCCAGUUCAGUUGUUGGGGGAGUAAUAUAAGCAGUAGGAUUUCUGCCAAAACAUUUCAAUAUUCAGAAAAGAAAAAGGAAAUGGAGAACAGAUAUAUUUUGGUAAAUUUUCUAGAAUGAAAAAGAACAGGUUAUUUUUGAAUUGUGAGUAAUUUCAAGCUAUAUGUUACUGUUGGAUUGUUCCUCUUCAGUUGCUUGACACGAUAAUGUUAUUGGAUGCCAUCUUACCUCGUGGAAUUAAUAUAAGCGUUAACUGCUUCUGCACCAUCGUAAGAGAUUUCCAAAGCAGGAAGAACAUGAGCAUCACUGAUAACUUCAUUCAAGCCCUGGUAAUCGGCAACAACCAAUCCUACAGCACCAGCCAUAGCAGCAGUUACGCCUUUGUCCAGCCUUCCAAUUCCCCCACCUCGUAGGCAAACCAAGAUCUUUCCCUUUGCUAGAGUAGGAUCCAGUGCUCCAUCCUUACAUAUAUCACUGCAAGAAAAGGGAAAUAUCAAAUAUAUUGCAGGUUAUGAGGGAAUCAAAUCACAUUUAGGAGUCCUAACAGAUUCAAAAGCUUACGCGUCUGGAUCUGAUGCAUUGGCAGCUUUAACAGAUCUGGCAGGAACAAUUGGAAAGAACGUGUUGUUUGGUAAUACUUUAUCCGAGAAGCUUUCUCCCUUUAGAGAAUAAUUUCUGAUCAACAAAUGCAUCAUGCAAGCUAAUGCCUAUAAAGAUUACUGACAGUUACAAAAGAACAGAAAAGAGAAAAAGAAAAAAAAACACUAACUCUGAUUCGCAAGUUGUUGCCAAGGACAAGAUAACUAGGAAACUGUCGAUCCAUGGUGCUUGCCCCAACUGUGAUUUGCCAGGGUGCAUCAUUGUCUAGUGUAUCAGGAUUAGGACCAUCAUUACCGGCUGCAGCAACAACUACAAUGCCACGCUUAAUAGCAUGAAGCGAGGCAAUGGCAAUGCCUCUAGUAUAAUCAGGGAUUAUUCCCCCUCCAACUGACAUUGAAAUCACAUCGACACCAUCGUCGAUAGCCAUGUCGAAAGCAGCCAAAAUAUCCGCCAUUUGGCAGCCUUCACUUUGGCAAGCCCUGUAAGCUGCUACUCGAGCUCUCGGUGAUCCACCUUUUGCUGUUCCAUUUCCUAACCCAAAUAAAUUUGCUCCGGCUACAAAAUUACCACCAGCUGUGGAUAAGGUAUGGGUUCCAUGGCCUGCAACGUCUCGUGGUGAGUUAAAAACACUUCUAUUUGCAUUUGGUGUCAGCAUGCUAAAAAAUCCUUCGCUGAAGUAUCUUGCUCCGAUGAGUUUCCUUCAUACAUAGUUGGCAACAAUGUCAACCAGAGCAUAUUAUGUGGAAGUUAAUUUUGACUUCAAGUAGGCUGAGGCCUAUGAGAUUAGCUUUCGUGAAAGCAUAAAAAUUUUUAUUAAAGUUGAAUGCGUUAUUUCUUAACUCCGAACUUCUUUUAGUUGUUUGAGUCCGAUAUGGAAGUUCAGUUCCCAAAUUUUAGUGCAAAGAAAGGAAACCAAUUCCUUUGAAGAAAACCAGAAUAUUUACAUUGGCAAUUCCUUGAAUCUUCACUAAUUGUGCAUGAUAAAAAUAGGUAAUGGUCAAAUUUUGAGGUACCAGUUGUCUGAUAGAGAAAAAACAAAUAUUUAGAUUUUUAAGCAAUCUUAGUGGAGGAUCCUUUUAGGAAUUAUCUGUUUAGGAGGAAACCAUAUGGUUCAACUUGAAGAUGACUUUCGGUAAGAGUAGAGACUAACUGACUUUACAAUUUACUAUGAUUUCUGUUAAAGAUUGAAACUUUUUUAUGGUCUUGUAGUAAUUAUUUCAAUUAAUCGAGACCAAAACACAUUGUCAUUCAAGUAUAAGCAUCACACAGAUGUAUAGAUAUCGAGACUUCAGGCAAUAAAGUUACUCCUUUUCAAGUGAAGGAUCAAUUGUAGUUCAAACCAAGAGUCUUCUAGAACUCGGAGAAAAUCUAGUUCUCUUCAACUUCCUAUAAUGUGUUUUACAGAGGAUCUGCAACUAAUAAGAAAUGAAAACUUUUUUAAAUUUUCAAAGGAUAUGAAAUAAAUAAUUUCUCUGGAUCUUUAAAGGAAAAAAGAAUUGUACUGUGAUGCUUUGAUAGAUACAAAGUAAUUAAUGAAAGUUAACAGAUAAAGAGAUCAAGGUGAAAAGAGAAAUCUGACCUAUUGCACUUAAAGGUUGAAUCAUUCUCAUUUUGACAAAUUCCUCUCCACCUUGCUGGAAUCGGUCCGUAUCCUUCAUCACUGAAGCUUUCUGAUUCUGGCCAGACACCUGUUUGAAUCCCCGUAAAAGGAAGAAUAAGGGUGGACAAAGCCAGUAAGAGAUAGCAAUUGCUAAACGGAAAUGAAGAAAAAAGUAAGAAGAAAGAAAUCUGAUCCUUCUUUCUGGUUUGGCUCUAUCGCCAAUUAAGUUAUCUUUGAUUUCAUCCCAUCUUGUUGAGGCCUGUGAGCUAAUGUCUUGUACUCUUGCCAUUUUUCAACUUAUGAUCAUAUUAAUCCAGCCAAUUAGCUAUGCAAAUGCACAAAUGCGGACGCUAUGAUCCAUCAAAAGGUUUGUUUGAGAUGAAACUUUAGACUUUGUGACCUGCAGGUACCGUUCCAAACUGAAAAUGUUGCAUCUGAGGUAGUCAAAUUGUUUUCUACCCAAGUAUGAGGAUGAUAGAACAAUGCGCCGAGCCAGUCACAGAUGCACAUGCUGGAUACUCUUUUAUUUUUAGAGAUUUUCAAUGUUCAUCUCUGAUGGCCUCAACUAUUUACACUUCACACCAAAUUAUUAAGGGUACAAAAAACUAGGUAGGGAAAUCUGAACCAGUCACAGCUAAACAACCGGGCUACUUCUGCUACGAGCUUCCAAAUUGUCACUGCCAAAUCUCCUCCUGUUGUGUCCCUAUGGUAAUGCAGAAUGCGACUUCAAUUUUUAGAAGGGGUUACAGUGCCAAUUGCAUUUCUCAAACAAGCAAAUUUGUAGUGACUGCACAGUCAACCAUGCCUGACGAUGACUACCUCGAUUAGAUGGUUGGUCAUUCCAGCACCAUAAACAAGAUUCAGAAAAAUGAAAAUCAUAUACGGUUGACGAUUAUUAUGAGUACCCUUUUGGCGUGCAUCUUUGGCAAAAAUGAGAUAAACGUAAGGAGUAAUUCUGUUGUAUCAUCAAGUGAAUGUUCUACGUGCAAGUUAUUAGUUGCAUACUCUGAUUGCACAAGGAAAAAGACAACACAAGAAUCUUGAGAAAAAUUUCUGCUUAUUAACUACACAUCAGGCUGCUGAUUUGGAUACAUCUAUUGAUCAAUUGGUAAGAUACAUGACUUGCAUUCUUCCAGAACUAGAUAGUUUUUCCAUUUUAGUAUUCCCAGAUGAAUUAUGAAUAAACUCACGUUCAAUGACGAAGUCAUCAAGAAUGCAUUUUGCUGAAACGAAUUUUUAAUAAAUCCAAGGGAGCUAAUCAACUCACCAGAGUCAAUAUUGGCAAUGAUGGUGUCUUCACCAAAUCUUGCCUGAGCCCAUGAUGGCUGGAUUUGGCCAUUUUGCUCAAGCCCCAGAAACCCCCACGACCUGGUUGUGUAUAAUUUGACUUGUUCGCUCAAGAAAACUGAUAGAACAUCCCGAUGUUCUGAAUUGUCAUGAAAGACAGGUCAACCUUUAUGCACAAAAAGUAGAAUAAAAACAGCUAUCCAAUAAACAAUAGCUUAAGAAGAAGCACUUCCAAAUUUCGUACUUGAUAUCUCAGCAGCUUCUGCCUCAUCAAGUAUUGCAGCAAAGCCAUUAAUAUGUCUUGUAUAAGAGUAGAAAAUUGCGUCUUUUGCCUUUUCGCUGCUGUUAUUAGUGGAAGUUCAAACAUAAAAAGCUAGACAUUAGACAUUGAAUUAAGGGGGAAAAAAGAAAAACAAAGGACUUCAGCUUCUUCAUGAGAAAUACACACUUCCAUACCUCCCCAAGAAUGAUCCAAGAAGCGAAUAAUGGGAUUCUCUUGUUCUAUCAUAUUCAACGGCUGAGACUUCUACAUUUUGAUCACGUGAAUGAGAUCCCAAGUAGACUAUGUAAGGCUGCGAAACAUAAAUUAAAAAGAAGAAAAUUAUUUUGUUCAAUUCAACAAAAUAAUUCUAACUGAGUUAUAUAUUUAAGGCAAACAAAUAUUGAUUUUUUUAUUUACCUUUUUUGUAGCAAAAGAGGGACUGAUUAAUGCUGAAAAAAGAAGGGGAAGUAAGAAAAGGGUUGAAGCAAUAGUUCUCAUUGCUUCCUUUUUUUCGAAACCUUAAUUUCCUCCUCCUUUUUAGUGCGCUCCCACAAGAAAGAAUUGUUCAGGGAUGCUCCAGUCCGGACAAAUGUAGCUAUUUAUAGUGUUUCAGUUAUUAUGUGGCCGUUAUUAUAGUUAUUUGUUUUAUAGAGAAAAUGGAGGAGGAAACAAUCGAUUAUAACUGUCCUGUCCUGAUCUAUGUAUCUUCUUAAGAGAAAAUGAAGGAGAAAUCAACCAAUUAGGAUUCUUCUACUUGUGUAAUAUCUUGGAAGACAGAGUUGUUUAUUUUUCCCCAUUUCCUGAUAAUUAAGAUAUGGAAUCUUAUUUAGCAUGCAACUUUCAAGCUCGAAUUUUCGCAUUAUAAAGUAUAUGUGGUGGUCCAUCAGUCUUAUCCAUCUAAUUUCCAAAUUUAUCUAAACUAUGAAUAAGUCAUUGCUUCACGCUUAACCCUGCCAAGAUUUACACUGCUGAAAGAUCCAAAACAAGAUUUCAAGGUCUUCGAAAUUAGGCCCCGUAGAAGAACAGUCUCAUUCAAGUGUCCUGAAACAACUUUGUCACUAAAUCCAGAAGUGUAGUACUUGUUCAAAAUGAAGCAUCAUGAUUUGAAAUGCCCCUGGACACACACAGGCCACAAUAUUGACUCAAUGAAUCUUUUCCUCAUCUCAAUUUUACCGGUUGAUUACAGCAAUACACGAACUGAAAUGGCAACAAGUAAAUGUGGUGUAGAUAGAGAAAAAAUCUGGUGCCAAUUUUGUAAUUGUUUCUACGUCAAAAUUGUUAUUUUAUCGUAGAGAUAUGCAAAAGAUUCUUGCUUGUAUCGAUUGCAAUAUGCAAGUGAUUAAACUAAUGAGAAAAUGCAACUUAAUUGGAACUGUGAUUUUUAUACAUCUUAUUUACAGACACUAUUUAUAACCCAUAAUAUUACAAACCUAUGUGACAGUAACAAGUCAAUCACAGGGAAACAAAUACAAGACUCCAAAUAGAGAUAAAACUAAAACAAAAAAAAAAGCAGAAGAGGUUUAGGGGUCUAUCUUGAUCAUCAAAUCCCAUCCUUAAAAGCCAUAUUAAGAUAACUCAAGAUGCCUUCAUAGAAUUCGAUAUCCUAAUGUGGUACUACAGCUAUCCUGACACUUUCGAAUGUCAAGAAAAGGAAUUUUUAUUGGUAGACGGGAUGCUAUAACAACAUAGAUUUCCUGACACUUUUGAAUGCUACGAGCCUAUCCCAUAUUGGAGGGGAUGACACUCGUCCGAAGUGUGAGGAAAGCUAAAGUGUUAAUUUAGAUUAUCUAUACUGACAACUGUAAAUGCCGUUAAAGGUCAUUUUUGUUGUAGUGCAUGUUCAAGUCCAAGAAAGUCCCAUGACCUGGUUGUGUGUAACUUUCUUGGUUGUUAAGAACACUGAUAAAACAUCCGGAUGUUCUGAAUUGGAAUGAAAAUAUUAAAUCCAGAGUUGUGCACAUUAUUGAAUUUAAAAAGCAGCCCACACAGAAGACAAGAUGCAGCACUGCAAACUGCUCACUAGAUAUCUGGUCAACUUCUGCCUCAUCAAGCCAUCAAUAUGUCUUGUUAAUUGCUUCUUUAAGAGCAUGGACAUAAGAAACGUACCUUCCCAAGAAUGAUCCAAGAAGCACGUAAUGGGAAUCUCUUGCUUUCUCAUAUUCAAUAGCUGAGACUUCUAAUGGUGAAUUACGUGCAUGCAUCAGAUCCCAAGUACACCACAUAAGACUAGUACACAUAAACAGCCACAUCAUUUAACUUCGCAAAUCAUCUUUGAUCAAUUUGCUAAAGCAGUUGUUGAAGGCAGACAAAGUAACAAGAAUACAAAAGUAUCUAUGAUCACCUGCUUCUUAGCAUAAGUGUGACUAAGUUAUAAUGAUGCUAGAAGGAAGACGAAGCAAAUGACUGAAGCACUAGUUUUCAUGGUAUCUCCUUUUGGUAUUUGCUCCUUUUCUUGGAAAAAGGAACUCCUUGCUUCCCUCCCCUUCUUCCGAGUUCUCUCACACCCAAAAAAAAAUUAAUAGAAUGAUUUUUAGAAAAAUAUAGGAUUCUCCCAUGCAGACUUAACAUUUUAAUUAAUGGUAACUUUGUUUCGAAAGAAUAUGAAGGGGGAAUGAUCACUUAUAACUGUCCACAGUAUCUAUCUUUAUCUUUCAAAGUUAAAAUGAAGGAGUUGAGCAAUGGUAUUCGUCCUCCUGAUUGAACUUUUAGGACUUUACAUAUGUGUAGAAGUAGAACACGCCCUUUAUGUCGCAAUUUUGUCCUAGAGGACUCCCCAGUCCAAGAUGUAACCAGGAUUUCCUCACAGGUGAACAAACAAAUGAAUAUGGACAGUAACAUAUUGUUAAUGUCGGUUUGAAGUGGUCUAGAUUUUCCUUGAAAAAGGAACUUGAUUACUCUAAAGAAUCUUGCUGGAAAUGGCCGAGCUAGAAUCUUUUUGAACAUAUUGUCUAAACAUUCAAGUCUUAGUAUUUGUUACAUGUCUAAGAGGAAUAUGAUCCAACUAGUGCUAAUUGGUAUUAGAAUGUAGUAAUUAAAGAAAAUGUAAAUUUUCUUUUAGCUCAAUCAUGCUUUAGCAUUUUUUCACUCAAUUCUCUUGUACAUCAUUAUCAUUACUAUAUAAAAAGUAUGAAUGUUGGUAUUGGGUAGUGCAAGUGUAAGCACUUUUUUAUCUUAGUUUUUAUAUUCCUAAAUUACCCUCAUGUCUUUUAAUUAGAAUUAUUGCAUUUUAAUAUGGCACUAAUUAAAAGAAAUAAAACACUCCAACUGAUUACAUUUUAAUAGUAUUGGUAAUUAUAAUUAAAAAUUCCUCAUUAAAAACUAUUUACCUACCCUUGGACUCCAUCUCCUAUUAUUAUACGUAUCAAAAUUUCUUAACUGAAGCAUGAAAAAUUUCUCAUUAGUCAUUUGUUGAGAUUAUUAAAAAAAAUCAAUUUCAAAAAAUAGAUACUCUCUAGAAAUGGAGAAACAUACAAUAACAAGAAAACCCUUAUUCAUCUGUAUAUCUUCACACAAACAUCAUAAGUAAAUUUUACAAUUAUGCACUUUUGCCAAUAUGAAGAAUUUUUCAUGUUGCACCCAAUUUCAAUAUACAAAAAAUGAUGACAUCUUUAUAACUGAAAUAGCAGUAUUAAACUAGAAAAAAGAAAUCUAAAAUAGCACCAUACAAACCACUAUUAUUAUUAAUAGCAACUGAUCAAAACAAGAAAAACUAAAAUAAAAUUGAAAACUAUUUAUAAAAUGGCAUAAAGUAAAUAGCAAAUUAAUUAAAAAACUAGAAUACAAUUCAAAUAAUACCAAAGACAACAUCCAAAUCACUGAUAUCCAGGGGAAGACAAAUAUUGUUAUUGACAAUAAUAUAGUAAUGCUUCAUUUGUAUUGGUUUGAGCAAACCAAAUCCAUCCAUCAAGUCAGAAACCAUCUCCAAUGAUAAAAUAAGGAUUAUAAUAAGAAUAAAUAUAAAAUGAAGAAUGAUAAAAUAAAAAUGAUAUCCAAAUUGUUUUUGGUGAUAUCCAAAAUAUCCUUAUUUUUCUAAUGAUUACAUAUAUUUAUUGUAUUGCAAUAUUAGUGAAUAAUGGAAGCAAUUAUGAAAUGAAAAGUUUUAAAAUUAAGUAAAUUUCAUUUAUGGUGACAAUUGUAAUUAGACAGAUUUAAUGCAUUCCAAUAAUUGAUAAUAAUGAUACCGGUUAUAGAUUAAAAGUUGGCAAUUAAAAACUAAAACACUGCAAUAUACAAAAAAUUAAUAUUAAAAUUAUUAAUUAGCCACAAUUCUCAUCCCAAUUUCAUGAUCAUAAAAAAACUAAUAUUAAAACCAAACAUAUUGUCCUCAUAUGAAAAAAGUAGACUUGUUGCUCUUGCUUCACAUUGGAUUGUGCUAAAAACAUGAAAAAAAAAUAGAAAAACUCCAACUAUCUCUAUCCAUAACAUUUCAAUUGUUAGAAUAUACAAGCCAAAAAAACUUUACAUGGUGGAUCAUUUAUACUCCAUUAUUGACAAAAAUAGAAUUAACAUAAUACAAAAAAUUCAAAUUACAUGUAUGUUUAUUUUUCUAACUUAAUUAUAUUCUUCGUUUAUAAAAAAAUUUUGAUGAUUGUGGUUUGUAUGCAAUAGAGUCAUGAAUAAACAAUACUUUUGGUAAAACAUGAUAUUAUCAAUAUUUGAUAUGUUAGAGUUCAAGUUAUAAAUCAAAAAGUGUUUCGUUCAUAUUUCAAAUUCAAUCCCAAGGGAUGUGUCAACUACAUUGGUAUGUUUUGUCUCUUUUCAUUUAAUAAAAUUUUUAAAAGUAACUAGCUUAAAAAAAUAAAUAAUAUAAAAAUACUAUAUUAUGAUGUUGAUGAUCAAAUUUCAUAAAAAAUUUUUAAUAUUUGAAAAAUAAUAUAUUUUAAGAUAUAUCAAUCACGUGCAAAGCACGUGAACUAUUACUAGUUUAAUAAAAACGGCACUAAAAAAUUAAAAAUAGCGCCCCCUUCUUUGGACUAAAGUUGCACUGUUAUUUUUUUGAUAAAAUUAACAAUAAAAGGUAGAUUUGGUAUUUGAUUUUUUCCCCUUUUUUGACUUUUAAAAUUUGUUUUGUACAUGUUUUCUCAAGUCAAAUUGCUAGAUUUUUACACAAAAAAAAAAAUGAAUGGGUCAGUUAGAUUCUUCAAAAGUAACCGGGUCAAGGUGAUACCUUUCAACAACUUCUGUCUCACCCAAGCUCCCCUCGUUCUGUCUCUUCACCUUCCUCAUCUAUUUUUCUCUGAAUUCUUCACUUGCUUUUCACCCUCUCUCCUACCUUAUCAAGAAUAAUUGAUGGUCAGAUACCAAUACUGGUAAGGAUAUAGUGAAAUUACUCUGAAAAGAAUGUAAUGUGUGGGAUUGAGGGAAAGCAUGGAAAACAAAGGAUUUGAUGAGGAGAAAGAGUUCAUAGAUCAAUUGUCUGGGAAUUUUUCAAGGAAAGAAAGGAAGGCAAAUGGGAAAAUCUUAAAUACAACAUUUGUCCCUUAAACAUAUUUC